AAACUGUCUCUCUUUUAAUAUUUUUAACUUUUUUAAGGAGUGAAAAUACUCAUAAAUAUUAUAAUAGACGAGAAGACCCUUAGAGUUUAUAAGAAAAAAGCCUUAUGGUUUUUACUUUUUUGUUGGGGCAACAGGAAUAGAAAAAAAUUUUAUUUACUACUUAACAAGACGAAAUUUUUAAGAGUGAAUAAGCUACCUUAGGGAUAACAGCAUAAUUUUUUAUAAGUUUGUGACCUCGAUGUGGACUA
rnacentral:rRNA from 1 species